GUCUUUUUCUUGAUGAACGCUGCCUCACAGGUGAGGAUGAGGAUGAUGUAGCAGUCACAGGGGCAGGUGAUGAACUUUUCCUCACAGGUGAGGAUGAGGAUGAUGUAGCAGUAACAGGAGCAGGUGAUGAACGUUUCCUCACAGGUGAGGAUGAGGAUGAUGUAGCAGUCACAGGGGCAGGUGAUGAACUUUUCCUCACAGGUGAGGAUGAGGAUGAUGUAGCAGUCACAGGGGCAGGUGAUGAACUUUUCCUCACAGGUGAGGAUGAAGAUGAUGUAGCAGUCACACGAGCAGGUGAUGAACUUUUCCUCACAGGUGAGGAUGAGGAUGAUGUAGCAGUCACAGGGGCAGGUGAUGAACUUUUCCUCACAGAUGAGGAUGAGGAUGAUGUAGCAGUAACAGGGGCAGGUGAUGAACUUUUCCUCACAGGUGAGGAUGAGGAUGAGGAUGAUGUAGCAGUCACAGGAGCAGGUGAUGAACGCUGCACAGAAGACCAAAGACACAAAAAAAAUACCACAGAUGUAAACAAAAAGUAAAUAUAAAUGCUUGCUUAAUUCAAAGUGCAUUGAUUUAGUUUAAGGGCAAGACAAAUGCAUUUGGAACAAAUAAUGUUUAAAA
ensembl:lncRNA